rnacentral:rRNA from 1 species
GUGCCAGCAGCCGCGGUAAGACGAAGGGGGCUAGCGUUGUUCGGAAUUACUGGGCGUAAAGGGCGCGUAGGCGGUCCUUUAAGUCAGGCGUGAAAGCCCUGGGCUCAACCUGGGAAUGGCGCUUGAUACUGUAGGACUAGAGAGUGGGAGAGGUUGGUGGAAUUCCCAGUGUAGAGGUGAAAUUCGUAGAUAUUGGGAAGAACACCGGUGGCGAAGGCGGCCAACUGGACCAUUUCUGACGCUGAGGCGCGAAAGCGUGGGGAGCAAACAGGAUUAGAUACCCUGGUAGUCC